ensembl:lncRNA
GUGUUAGGUGGUUAGCACGGUGGUGGUGUUAUGUUGUUAGCAUGGUGGUGGUGUUAUGUUGUUAGCAUGGUGGUGGUGUUAGGUGGUUAGCACGGUGGUGGUGUUAUGUGGUUAGCACGGUGGUGGUGUUAUGUUCUUAGCAUGGUGGUGGUGUUAUGUUGUUAGCAUGGUGGUGGUGUUAGGUGGUUAGGACGGUGGUGGUGUUAUGUUGUUAGCAUGGUGGUGGUGUUAGGUGGUUAGCACGGUGGUGGUGUUAUGUUGUUAGCAUGGUGGUGGUGUUAUGUUGUUAGCAUGGUGGUGGUGUUAGUUGGUUAUGACGGUGGUGGUGUUAUGUUGUUAGCAUGGUGGUGGUGUUAGGUGGUUAGCACGGUGGUGGUGUUAUGUUGUUAGCAUGGUGGUGGUGUUAGUUGGUUAUGACGGUGGUGGUGUUAUGUUGUUAGCAUGGUGGUGGUGUUAGGUGGUUAGCACGGUGGUGGUGUCGCUGCGAGCCUGUGAAUUUCCCCAUUGUGGAACUAAUAAAGGAAUAUCUUAUAUUAUCUCUCAGAUGAUGGUGUUAAAGCCGAUCAAAUAUCACAUUAUGCUAUGUCAUAAAAAAAGUUAGUGUCAAAAAAAUGCUAAUGUAGUACAGAAAAACUAUAGUGUCAAAAAAAGCGCAUAGCAUCAAAAACAAAGUAAUUCAAUAAAAGUCCUAAUAUAUAUAGUAUGCCAAAAAAUGUGAUAGAGAUAAUUAGAUUAAAUUAUGUGAAUAUAUGUCAUGAAAAAAUACAAAAUGUUAUGUCAAAAAAUAUAAUGAUAGUCAUGAUGUAUUAUGUUGAAAAUGUGACAUAAAAUCAAAAGUACCAAUACUUUACAAUAGUAAAUUAUUUUCUUUAUUGAUUAACACAGAUUUGAUUUCUUCACAUGUCACAAGAGGAAAGGAUGAUGACAAUAAUGUCCCUGGUUUAGUUGUAGGCAUCUUUCUCAGUCUGUGAUUGGCUGGAUGGUAGAGCCAAUGGGAGCUCAGGGACCACAAGCUGGACAGGCUCCGCCCCCGAUAUACCUAGGUCAGGAAACAGGAACAUUUAUUUCCAUAAUAUGUUAGACAUACAAGGAAUUUGACUUGGCAGUUGGGGCAUAACAUCAUAAAGUAAGACAAU